UAGGGAAUCUUCGGCAAUGGACGAAAGUCUGACCGAGCAACGCCGCGUGAGUGAAGAAGGCUUUCGGAUCGUAGAACUCUGUUGGUAGAGAAGAACGUUGGUGAGAGUGGAAAGCUCAUCAAGUGACGGUAACUACCCAGAAAGGGCGGCUAACUACGUGCCA
rnacentral:rRNA from 1 species